rnacentral:rRNA from 1 species
UACGAAGGGGGCUAGCGUUGCUCGGAAUCACUGGGCGUAAAGCGCACGUAGGCGGAUUGUUAAGUCAGGGGUGAAAUCCUGGAGCUCAACUCCGGAACUGCCUCUGAUACAGCACGUCUUGAGUUCGAGAGAGGUGGGUGGAAUUCCGAGUGUAGAGGUGAAAUUCGUAGAUAUUCGGAAGAACACCAGUGGCGAAGGCGGCUCACUGGACUGGUAUUGACGCUGAGGUGCGAAAGCGUGGGGAGCAAACAGGG